CGUGACAUAUGGUUGGUAGAAACGCGAGAUGACGCUAUGCUGUACCACAGAUUGUUUUAUAAACACGUGAUAAAGUUUAACAAUCUACCACAUUUUUAUAUGUUGUAAUCGUUUGAAAAUUUGUUUUUGGAAUUACGAAAUUAUGGUAUCAAACUUUGCAGUUUCUUACCGAUUUUUGAAUUACUUUGUAGCCCUGAAGGUCCAGCGCAAGCAUUAUAAUACCUCCAAAAUUCAGUUGUCGGGCUUGAAUGCCACUAUUCCGUAUAUUUCUACGCUCCGGUGUAGUAGUUGAACCUAUAAAAUGGAAAACCGUUCAUGUUAUAGUAAAACACUUGUAAUAUUUACAUACUUUGAGAAUGUGGGGUUCGUCGAAUACGUGGCGAUAAAUUCGCCAUGGAGUAGAAAUCAGGGCAUUCCUUCCUUGGGGUCAGGAAGAUGAGAUCAGUUGUCUGGGGCACUACAGUGGACGCAUCAAUUUUACUUGCCUCCAGUGGUGAUUGACUUUCAAUUUGUUUUUACCUCGAGGAGGCAAAAUCGUUGGUACCGCAGAUUGAUGCAGCCUUUGUGUACCUUGGACAUAGUCUUCAGCCCGAAAAUGUUGGUAGCAAAUGUACCCUCUCCGAUAAAUUUGGUCAUUUGUUAAACCCUCGAAUUUUGGGUUAUUGGAGGCUUUAACCCAUGCCAUAAACCUAUCUAGACCCCGUUUCGGAUGUGGAAACCUAAAUAUAGGGGCCAUCCUGUUCCCACAUUUAUAAAUUGCACAAGUUUUGUGCGUUUUUUGUGCUUCCAUUCUUUUUUCUACAAACAUUUGUUAUAAUAAUGCUAUAAACAAUGAACAUAAAGUGAAAACAUUUGUAUA